rnacentral:rRNA from 1 species
UACGUAGGGUGCGAGCGUUGUCCGGAAUUAUUGGGCGUAAAGAGCUCGUAGGUGGUCUGUCACGUCGGAUGUGAAAACUCGGGGCUCAACCCCGAGCCUGCAUUCGAUACGGGCAGACUAGAGUUCGGUAGGGGAGACUGGAAUUCCUGGUGUAGCGGUGAAAUGCGCAGAUAUCGGGAGGAACACCGGUGGCGAAGGCGGUUCUCUGGGCCGAUACUGACGCUGAGGAGCGAAAGCGUGGGGAGCGAACAGG